rnacentral:rRNA from 1 species
UACGUAGGGUGCAAGCGUUGUCCGGAUUUAUUGGGCGUAAAGAGCUCGUAGGCGGCUUGUCGCGUCGUCCGUGAAAACCUGGGGCUCAACCCCAGGCUUGCGGUCGAUACGGGCAGGCUCGAGUUCGGUAGGGGAGACUGGAAUUCCUGGUGUAGCGGUGAAAUGCGCAGAUAUCAGGAGGAACACCGGUGGCGAAGGCGGGUCUCUGGGCCGAUACUGACGCUGAGGCACGAAAGCGUGGGGAGCGAACAGG